rnacentral:snRNA from 1 species
UGGGGCGGCACAUCUGUUAAAAGAU